rnacentral:rRNA from 1 species
GAUGAACGCUGGCGGCGUGCUUAACACAUGCAAGUCGAACGGACUUUUAUUGAAGCCUAGCGAUAUAAAAGUUAGUGGCGGACGGGUGAGUAACGCGUGAAUAACCUGCCUUAUACUGGGGGACAACAGUUGGAAACGACUGCUAAUACCGCAUAACGUAACGAGAAGGCAUCUUUCGUUACCAAAGAUUUAUCGCUUAGAGAUGGGCUCGCGUCUGAUUAGAUAGUUGGCGGGGUAACGGCCCACCAAGGCGACGAUCAGUAGCCGACCUGAGAGGGUGACCGGCCACAUUGGGACUGAGACACGGCCCAAACUCCUACGGGAGGCAGCAGUGGGGAAUAUUGCACAAUGGGGGAAACCCUGAUGCAGCGACGCCGCGUGAGCGAAGAAGUAUUUCGGUAUGUAAAGCUCUAUCAGCAGGGAAGAAAAUGACGGUACCUGACUAAGAAGCACCGGCUAAAUACGUG